UACGUAGGAUGCGAGCGUUGUCCGGAUUUAUUGGGCGUAAAGAGCUCGUAGGCGGCUCGGUAAGUCAGGUGUGAAAACUCUAGGCUCAACCUAGAGACGCCACCUGAUACUGCUGUGGCUAGAGUCCGGUAGGGGAGCAUGGAAUUCCUGGUGUAGCGGUGAAAUGCGCAGAUAUCAGGAGGAACACCAGUGGCGAAGGCGGUGCUCUGGGCCGGAACUGACGCUGAGGAGCGAAAGCGUGGGGAGCAAACAGG
rnacentral:rRNA from 1 species